rnacentral:rRNA from 1 species
GCGGUAAUACCACCUCGCGUAAUGUACUCUAAAGUUGCUGCAAUUAAAACGCUCGUAGUUGGAUGACAGACCUUUUGGAGGAGCUGAUUGUAAGAUUAUCCAUCGCGGUGAUUUUACUCUCUUGUGCUCUUCCAAGAGGUAUUUUUGUCUGUGCCCUUGGAUUGACCUUUACUGCGUUGAUCCAUGAGCUCAGAAGAUGUGCCUUGAGAAAAUCAGAAUGCUCAAAGUAGGCUUUUGCCUGAAUGUUGAUAGCAUGGAACGAACAAUUGUGGCAACGUCAAUUUUUGGAUGUAUAAAUAUGCAAAUAUCUGUAUACCCAAUCAUUGACGCCCGUGCUCUGAUACUAGAAUGUUGGUUUGGUGUCGGGGUGUUUGGUUAAAAGGAGUAGUUGGGGGCAUUGGUAUUUGGCAGCUAGAGGUGAAAUUCUUAGACCUGCCAAGGACUGACUGAUGCGAAGGCGUUUGUCCAGACUACAUCAAUUGAUCAAGAACGAAACAGCAGGGUUCGAAGACUAUUAGAUACAGUCCUAGUCUGCUGCGUAAACGAUGCCGACCCGGGAUGAGGUGUGCAGCCAUUGUAGUGCUGCGACUUGGUCCCCCUGAGAAAUCUAGAGUUUUUGGGCUUUGGGGGGAGUAUAUCCGCAAGGAAGAAACUUAAAAGAAUUGACGGAUGGGCACCACAAGAUGUGGAACUUGCGGCUUAAUUCGACUUAACGCGGGGAAUCUUACUUGACCAGGACAACGAGAGGACAGACAGACUAAAGAUCUUUCUCGAUACGUUGGAUGGUGGUGCAUGGCCGUUCUUGGUUCGUGGAGUGAUUUGUGGGGUCGAUUCCUUAAACGAGCGAGACCCUUGUCUCCAUUUGAGGUUUGUUGGAGUGCGCGAAGCAAUUCGUGCUCAGAUAGAGUGUUCUGAUUGACUUGUCAACUAAGAGUGUUCUUCCCGACAAGAGGCUGUACUUGGUGCGAACCGGGUGCAGUAUCAUGGAGAGACGUGUGGGUAUACACAAAAGCCACAGGAAGUGGGGUCAAAAACAGGUCUGUGAUGCCCUUAGAUGGCCGAGGCAGCACGCGAGUUACAAUGACACUGACAGCGCGUUUCUGCUCCGAGAGGAGUGGGUAACCUCUAGGCAGUGUCGUGAGGAGGAUUGUCCAUUGGAAUUUGGACAUGAAAUAGGAAUAUCUUGUAUGUGCAGCUCACCAGGCUGUACAGAAUGCGUCCCUGCCCAUUGUACAC